CGUGAGCGGCGGCCAGGCCGCUCUGCUUGGCGCUCAUGUCCGCCCUGCUCCGGACCGGGCCGCGCGCUGUGCCCCGAGAGCCAAGAAGGCAGGAGCGAACGCGGGAGCUAGAGGGCAGGGCCGAGGCGCUGCGGCCGGCCCAGAGAGGCCCCCGCACGUCCAGGGCCGCCGCCCGGCGCCCCGAGGGGCAGUCGGCGCCCGGCGCGCUCUUCUCGGGGCGGUGGGCAAGGCUGGCGGCCUGACGCGGGCGCGGGAGACGAGGAGACGCGGAGAAGAAGGUGUCCCGGCUGCAGGCACCCCUCGCUGUCUCCAGCAGGAAGGGGCGACUCAGGUGGCGGUGCGACUGCCGCUGGUUUCGGUUCUGGUGCGCCAUGACGGGCCGCUGCCGCUUUCUGCCGCCGCGCUUGGCGCCCCGGGCCUCCGCACCGCCUAGUCUCCGGCGGCCGCUGCUACCGCCGCCAUCCUCCGGCUCCCACGGCGGCUGGCGGCUGAGUGGGAGGCGCCCGCCCAGACUCCGCCGGAGCCACCUUCCCUCCUCCCCCAGCCACCCAGCCGUUAUUAACGGAGAAAGAGGAAAAACGGGUGGCGCGCGAGGGGAGGACGAAGAAUGGGAGGGAGGGAGGGGUGGCCCGCGCUUCCCGGCAACCGUCGCUUCCCUCCCCCUGCGAGAUUAAUUUCACAGGGGAUUAAUUUCUCAUUUACAAAUAAAAAUGUAAUCAUAGCCUCCUGGUAUCGCACAUCCAUGGGAAUACUGAAUUUAUUUGGACUAGAAACUAACACCUGCUGGAAUGUCACCAGAAUAGAACCUCUUAAUGAAGUUCAAAGCUGUGAAGGAUGUCAUGCCCAGAGCUGUAGCGGUCAUCUUGUGACCAUAAGGGAAAGGCCAUAAAAAUAGCAGAUAUAUCUGGCCUACCAUCCUUCUGCUGCUGAACCAAUGCCAACAGUGGGACUCAACUAGGAGGUCUUAUUACAGUACUGUGCUGCUUUUUCAACCAUGGAGAGGUCACUCGUGUGAUGUGGACACCACCUCUCCGUGAAAGUUUUUCCUAUCCAUUUCUUGUACUUCAGAUGUAUAUUUUAACUUUGAUUCUCAGACUGUUCGUGAUAUUUCGUGUGUUUUAGCUACAAACACUUAUCUAAGAUGCUGUCUUCGCAGUGCCAUGCCUACAAUGGCAAGCGUGAAGCUGUCUACACUUCAUCCCAUUGUGAAUCAUCCACAUUACGAAGAUGCAGACUUGAGGUUGGCGGCCGAUGAGUAUUUCAUCAAGACUCACUUGGGCCCAGACAAAAAUAGUUUAUUCUACAUAUAGUCGAAAAUCUGCCAAAGAAGUAAGAGAUAAAUUGUUGGAGUUACAUGUGAAUUAUUAUGUUUUAGAAGAGGCAUGGUGUGUUGUGAGAACUAAGCCUGGUUGCAGUAUGCUUGAAAUCUGGGAUGUGGAAGACCCUUCCAAUGCAGCUAACCCUCCCUUACGUAGCAUCCUGCUCGAAGAUGCCAGGCUCGAAGAUGCCAGUAUUUCAGAAUAGUGUGUACAGAGUAUUGAAGGUUAACUGAGAAGGAAACUACCCAUUACACUAUGGCACAAUGCCGUGUGUCAAAAACAAUCACCCUUUGGCUUAUUUACAUUAAUAAAAAUCACAAGCUUUAAUAACAGACACUUAAAAAUAAGAUAAAAAUGGAUUGAAAGUUUUUCUGAUUACUAAAAGGUAAAUUACUUUUCUGUUCAUUGAAUGUCAGCCUUAUUAAGCUUGUCAUAUAAAUUAUUCAAUCAUGUCAUACUGCAUAAACAAAUGUUCAUUUCAGAGUUUUAAAGAGAAAUGUAUAUAAAAGAACAAUGAAUUUUAAUAAAUCAAGGGUACGUAAGUCCCUUUUCAUCCACC